UACGAAGGGGGCUAGCGUUGCUCGGAAUCACUGGGCGUAAAGCGCACGUAGGCGGAUUGUUAAGUCAGGGGUGAAAUCCUGGAGCUCAACUCCAGAACUGCCUUUGAUACUGGCGAUCUUGAGUCCGGGAGAGGUGAGUGAAACUCCGAGUGUAGAGGUGAAAUUCGUAGAUAUUCGGAAGAACACCAGUGGCGAAGGCGACUUACUGGACACAUACUGACGCUGAGGUGCGAAAGCGUGGGGAGCAAACA
rnacentral:rRNA from 1 species